GCCGGUGUGGUGCAGUGGUUUAAGCAUUGGACUACAACUCUGGAGACUAGGGUUCGAUUCCCCACUUGGCCA